UCGUGCCGUGAGGUGUUGGGUUAAGUCCCGCAACGAGCGCAACCCUUACCCUUAGUGCCAGCGGGUAAUGCCGGGCACUCUAAGGGGACCGCCCCGGAUAACGGGGAGGAAGGCGGGGAUGACGUCAAGUCAGCAUGGCCUUUAUGUCCAGGGCUACACACGUGCUACAAUGGGCGAUACAGAGGGAAGCAAGGCCGCAAGGUAGAGCUAAUCCCUAAAGUCGUCCUCAGUUCGGAUUGCAGGCUGCAACUCGCCUGCAUGAAGUCGGAAUCGCUAGUAAUCGCGGAUCAGCUACGCCGCGGUGAAUACGUUCUCGGGCCUU
rnacentral:rRNA from 1 species